rnacentral:rRNA from 1 species
AUUGAACGCUGGCGGCAGGCCUAACACAUGCAAGUCGAACGAGUGGCGGACGGGUGAUUAAUGUCUGGGAAACUGCCCGAUGGAGGGGGAUACCUACUGGAAACGGUAGCUAAUACCGCAUACCAUCGGAUGUGCCCAGAUGGGAUUAGCUAGUAGGGGGGGUAACGGCUCACCUAGGCGACGCUCCCUAGCUGGUCUGAGCGGAUGACCAGCCACACUGGAACUGAGACACGGUCCAGACUCCUAAGGGAGGAAGCAGGGGGGAAUAUGGCACAAUGGGCGAAAGCCUGAUGCAGCCAUGCCGCGUGUAUGAAGAAGGACUUCGGGGUGUAAAGUACUUUCAGCGAGGAGGCGUUAAUCGCAGAAGAAGCACCGGCUAACUCCGUGCCAGCAGCCGCGGUAAUUC